rnacentral:lncRNA from 1 species
GGAGAGCUGAUUGGACAACUCCAAAGCUUCUUCUUCCACUUGUAAACCUUCCAUGUUUCAUCGUAGCAUUGAUUUGCUUUACAAGCUUGGGAUUAACCACCGCCGACGACCCUAUUCUUCAUCCUGAAGAAGUUAUGUAUAUAUUAUUAUAUUCCCACUUUCUUUGGGAGUUUCCCUCAGCAAUGAAAUUUUUAUGAAUGAAUUGUAAAUAUCUAAUGCAGUGAAGGCACUGAAAGCAAUAGGGAAGAAGAUAGAGAAAAAGGAUUGGGAUUUUGGGAUAGAUCCAUGUAGUGGAAAAGGGAAUUGGAUGGCAAAAGGAGAUGGAAAUGAAGGAUUUG